UCUUGGAAUGUAUACAACCUGCUGCGGGGAUAUCAGAGCGGUUCUGAGUCUUAAAAUAUCGGGGGUUGUGGAUUUAUAAUCUAUCAACAGGUAGCCAAAGAUGUAACUAG